UGGACUUUACACAUUUUACCUCUUUCUCUACACAACUAAGACACUCUGCUAACACACCUUUCUGCUAGACGCCAUCUCGUUCAAAACACAUUUAGGUUUCAG